rnacentral:rRNA from 1 species
AACGAACGCUGGCGGCAGGCUUAACACAUGCAAGUCGAGCGCCCCGCAAGGGGAGCGGCAGACGGGUGAGUAACGCGUGGGAACGUACCUUUUGGUUCGGAACAACUCCGGGAAACUGGAGCUAAUACCGGAUAAGCCCUAACGGGGAAAGAUUUAUCGCCGAAAGAUCGGCCCGCGUCUGAUUAGCUAGUUGGUGAGGUAACGGCUCACCAAGGCGACGAUCAGUAGCUGGACUGAGAGGAUGAUCAGCCACACUGGGACUGAGACACGGCCCAGACUCCUACGGGAGGCAGCAGUGGGGAAUAUUGGACAAUGGGCGCAAGCCUGAUCCAGCCAUGCCGCGUGAGUGAUGAAGGCCUUAGGGUUGUAAAGCUCUUUUGUCCGGGAAGAUAAUGACUGUACCGGAAGAAUAAGCCCCGGCUAACUUCGUG